GGGCUGCAGUAGGGAAUAUUGCGCAAUGGACGAAAGUCUGACGCAGCAACGCCGCGUGGAUGAUGAAGCAUCUUGGUGUGUAAAAUCCUGUCAGUGGGGAAGAAACGUGCCGGUAGUAACUGCCCGGCGCCUGACGGUACCCACAGAGGAAGUCCCGGCUAACUCCGUGCCAGCAGCCGCGGUAAUACGGGGGGGACAAGCGUUGUUCGGAUUCACUGGGCGUAAAGGGCGCGUAGGCGGGCCUUCAAGUCGGAUGUGAAAACUGCCAGCUUAACUGGCAGCCUGCACUCGAUACUGUUGGUCUUGAGUACAGGAGAGGAGAGCGGAAUUCCAGGUGUAGCGGUGAAAUGCGUAGAUAUCUGGAAGAACACCAGUAGCGAAGGCGGCUCUCUGGCCUGAUACUGACGCUCAAGCGCGAAGGCUUGGGUAGCAAACAGGAUUAGAUACCCUGGUAGUC
rnacentral:rRNA from 1 species